GAGCCGAGCCGUCGUUUCGUUUCUUCACAGCCACGUUACACGUACUAGGUAAAUAUAUUAGGUAAAUAUAUUAAGUAAAAGUUAAAUAGGUUUAAAAUAGGUAAAUAUUUGUUUUUUUUUAAUUAAGCCCAGCCCACGUUAUAAAGCCCGCGCCUGUGGGCUUUUUGCGCCUACGGCGCCUUGAGGAAGGCGCGCGCCUCAACCGCGCCUUUCCAUCGGCGCCUCGCCUACCCACAGAGAAGCGCUGGGGGUGCGCCUUGCGCCUAGGCGCGCCUAGGUGCGCGCCUCAGCGUGCCUUUCAAAACACUGCCUACAAUGUACACUACCUCAUAAAUAAAGCUAACAAUUACCCCUCAAUCCAUUUUAAACAGUCCAUGAAAAUCACAUCAAAACACAUUUAAAACUAUAAAUUUAAUCUUUACGCGUAAUCAGUCGAACAAAUCUAAGUUCAGUCAACAUUAUCGUCCAUCAAUAUAUAUCUAAGCUAAACAUCACAGUCAAACCAUCUAAAUACAGUCAAUAGUACAGUCCAUCAUUAUCUAAACUACAUACAUGACAAUCAAAUCAUCUGAACCCAACCAAUAAUACAGUCCAUCAAUAUCUAAACUACACAUGACAGUCAAAUCAUCUGAACU